rnacentral:tRNA from 1 species
CCUGAUAGCUCAAUAGGUGCAGAAUCUGCCUGCAAUGCAGAAGACCCUGGUUCGAUUCCUGGGUCAGGA